rnacentral:rRNA from 1 species
CCCUUAGAUGUUCUGGGCCGCACGCGCGCUACAAUGAAAAAUUCAACAAGUUUUCCUGCUUUGAAGAAAGUGGGUAAUCAUUGCAAUCUUUUUCGUGCUGGGGAUAGACCUUUGUAAUUGUUGGUCUUGAACGAGGAAUUCCUAGUAAGUGCAAGUCAUUAACUUGUACUGAUUACGUCCCUGCCCUUUGUACACACCGCCCGUCGCACCUACCGAUUGAAUGGUCCGAUGAAAUCUUUGGACUGAGUCGCCGAGCGAUUCGGAAAAUCGAUUAAGUCUUACCAUUUAGAGGAAGGUGAAGUCGUAACA